GGCUUUGUGGCUCAGUGGUAGAGCGGUGCACUUGUAAUGCACAGGUCCCCGGAUCAAUCCCGGGCGGAGCCU
rfam:Nannochloropsis gaditana strain B-31 chromosome 6, whole genome shotgun sequence.